AACACAGCAGUACGCUCCCAAAACAUUCAAAUUUCCAAAGACGACAUUUCAUCACUUUUAACCUCUAUUUAGAAUGUAAAACUGAAAUUUUGUCCGUGAAUUCAGUAUGAAGGACAAAGCUGCAUCCAAGCCAGCUGAAAACAAGCAGCUCAUUUUCGGAAUACCUGGCGUCGAUGAGAUCCUAAAUUUGCACAAAAAAAUCGGAUCUGGCACCUUCAGCUCGGUCUAUUUGGCAUCUUUGAAGUCUGAGGCGCAUAUUUCGCGUGAAAAUCGUCGAUUUUUCGCGGUAAAGCGUCUCAUUCCGACCUCGAGCCCCAAACGAAUUGAACAAGAGUUAAAGUGUCUCGUGAAUAUCGGCGGCGUAGAUAACGUGGGCGGCAUCGAGGCAUGUGUGCGACAUCAGGAUCAGGUUGCUUUCAUCAUGCCGUACUUGGCUCAUGACAAAUUUCACGAAUAUUUCGACAAAAUGAGUGUGAAUGAGGCACGGUUGUACUUGAAAAAUCUGCUGCUGGCUCUGAGACGCGUUCACAGCUUCAACAUGAUCCAUCGCGAUGUCAAGCCGAGCAACUUUUUGUACAAUCGACGCGACCAAAAGUGGAUGUUGGUUGAUUUUGGGCUUGCGCAAGAAGUGAAAGAGUACAAAAAGGAGGAAAGUAAGCCUUCGACAUCGUCUCAAACACAAAAAAGACCCCUCAAGGAAGUCUCUGAUGAGAAUGAAAAUGUCACGACGAGCAAUUCGGGGCAACAACCGCCAAGUAAAAGAAUUUGUUUGGAGUCAAAGCCAAAAAAUAAUGAAAAAUCCACGAAAAAAGAGUCAAUUAACGUACCAGAUAGCAUUUUCAAGAGUCCCCUUCGAACGAGUAACGCUUCAAAUCUACCAAGUUACUAUCAAACGCCUCUCGCAACUGCCGUGAAAUCAACUUGCAUCGGCCUAAGUGUCAAUUUACGCAUGAUGGAGCCUCAUCGUCGUACCGCAACCCCAAAUUCCGUCACACGAUCAACCUCAAGUGCAGGAAUUGGCGCUGCCACAAACGUUUGUUACUGCUACGGCAAGAGUCAAGUGUGCAAUAUUUGCAUCGUGAAGAAGGAAGUGCAAGCGAGUCGCGCUGGAACGCCCGGAUAUCGCCCGCCCGAAGUCCUUCUCAAGUAUCCGCACCAAAAUACCGCUGUCGACAUCUGGUCUGUCGGCAUAAUUUUCCUCUCGAUCCUUUCGAAAUGCUAUCCGUUCUUCAAGGCGCACGACGACUUCAACGCUUUAGCUGAACUUGUGACACUUUUCGGCGACAAACGCAUGAAACAACUCGCCGCAUCGCUCGAACGUCACAUGAAAAUCGGACAAAAACGCCCGGCACUCAAUUUACGCAAAAUUUGUGUGAUUUUAAGCAACCGCAAGCCAAUUACGGAGAACGAGAUUUUAGAUCCAAAACCAGGAACGUCAUCGUCGUCGUCGUCGUCAUUUUUGAUGAUGAGCAACAACACGAGCAACUUACAAGACUGUCAACACUGCCAACAAAAAUUGAAUAAUUGUUUGUGCGCUUCUUCAGCGAUCAUUCCGUCGUUGCAUGGCACGGAUAUGUGGCCGACGGAAGCUUAUAAUUUACUUUAUCGUAUGCUUGAACUUGAUCCGCGCAAGAGAAUUACGGCAAAAGAAGCGCUUGAACAUCCCUUUUUUACGAUGGAAUGCACCGAUGAGGCGGAAAAUUCACAAAAGUCAGGAGAAUAGGAAAUUUUUAGGAAAUAUUUUGCGUGUAAAUGUUUGACGAGGCUGGUAAAAUUGUCGAACAUGUUUUGGAUUUCAUAAUUUUUAAUUUUUUUUGAGAAAAUUUCGGAGAGAAAGUUUUCAUCGAAUAUUUAAAAAGAUGAUUGACCGAAAUGUAAGUUUAACAGUUACUUAAACACAGAGUACUCUCAUUAGCACCUAAGUUUCAAGUAUUUAUAAACGAUUUAUUUGUGUGAUCUAUCAAUAAAAGAAUAUUUUUACGAAG